rnacentral:rRNA from 1 species
AUGAACGCUGCCAGAAUGCUUAACACAUGCCAGUCAACUUGAAUUUGGGUUUUUAACUUAGGUUUGGGUGGCGGACGGGUGAGUAACGCGUAAAGAACUUGCCUCACAGCUAGGGACAACAUUUGGAAACGAAUGCUAAUACCUAAUAUUAUGAUAAUAGGGCAUCCUAUAAUUAUGAAAGCUAUAAGCGCUGUGAGAGAGCUUUGCGUCCCAUUAGCUAGUUGGAGAGGUAACGGCUCACCAAGGCGAUGAUGGGUAGCCGGCCUGAGAGGGUGAUCGGCCACAAGGGGACUGAGACACGGCCCUUACUCCUACGGGAGGCAGCAGUGGGGAAUAUUGGACAAUGGACCGAGAGUCUGAUCCAGCAAUUCUGUGUGCACGAUGAAGUUUUUCGGAAUGUAAAGUGCUUUCAGUUGGGAAGAAACAAAUGACGGUACCAACAGAAGAAGUGACGGCUAAAUACGUG